UUGAAAAUUCAGCCGUUGAACGUUAAAGAAGGUGUUGGUUCAAUCGGCUUUCAUCCAACGUUAAUUCUUUUUUGUUUGAAGUUUCUUACUCUGUGAAAUACUCAGGAAGCUGAUAAUUUUUCGGAAAUCGCGGUUUUGUCGAAGAAGUUAUGUUUUUUAAUCGUCAAAAUAGGCUUUGGCGAAUUCCUAGUGCAGUACUUCCGUCGGCAAACACGUUACUGCAAAAGCCCUCAUGUUUGCUGUGUUUUUACAGCAUAACAAUGGGAGCAAUAAGAAGGAAUGCGUUGGACAGGACCGCAAAGAUGAAGCAUGUUAUGACCCUGGACAGACCUCCUGACUGACAUCUGAUGCAGUAUGACUUUAAGAUGUGUCACGUUCAGCUCUGUUGUCAGUGAAUGCUGAUCAUUGCAGAAAUCUGUCAUAUUGGAAGUCUCUGUGGAAGUCUAUCUCUCACUGCUUCCAGCCAGCUUGAGUAGGAGAAAGAGUAAUAAUGUAGAAUGACGCUGACGUUCUUUGAGUUCACUCCAGUCUCCAGUAUUUCUCAAGACUUUGAUACAGAUUUCAUCAGAGAACCCAAGAAGCCGCUCAUCUGCUGUUUUGCUGUCAACCUGUAGAUAACUUCAAGUUUUGCCUCAUUUGCACAUGUCUUGGGAAAAGAUUAAUUGUGUUUUUUUUGUUUUGUUUUUUUGUCUAAAUAAAAAAUAAAUUGUUGGAAUAAACACCUGAAACAUA